GGCCAACACUGCAAAUAUUGAUUCUUUACAUAAACUUAAUGUAAUUGUCAAUAAAAGCCUUUGACACUUAUGAAAUGCUUGUAAUUAUGCUUCAGUAUACUAUAGAAACAUCUGACAAAAAGACCUAUGAACACUGAAGCGGCAAACUUGAAAAAACCAAUACUUGUGUCAAGGGCAGCGUGUGGUUCAGUGGGCUAAGCCUCUAUUCCUGUAAUCAGGUCACUGGUUCAAACCUAGUGACUAGUGGGAUCCAAUUAGGAUGGUUUUAGAAUCUCAGUUUACAUAAUUAAGUGUCUGGGUGUUUCUCAAAAUGCAUACUUGACCAUACUUGUGAUGACACAUACCUGUUUUAUGUCAUCUUCCAAUGCCGAAGACCAGUUUCAACGCUACUGGUACACUCCAUUUGAACUGGGAAGUCAGAAUUUCCUAUUCUGAAAUUACAACUGGAAUGCCCUCUGAAGUACUGACUUAGAAAGUCAAAGAAAUCUAUAUAACCUCAAUCUCAGAAUUCAAGAUGUCUAUGCCCUUCAUCAACAGAAGUGAAAGCUGUAGUUAUAUACUGUUGAUUAGCACUUAUGUCUUAUUUAUGUCUCAAUAAAUCAGUUGAACAUGCAAUACUGUCCGACCGCUAUCUGUGGACAUGUUGCUAAGCUGUUUGUUUACGCGUAAUGCGUUGCUAUGAUCCGGUGUCACUAACAAUGGCUACCAAUGAACCUGGCUAGAACUGGUAUUGCUAAAUGCCUUUACAACUUGUUUUACUGGUACGAGGUUAACUCUGGUGUGUCAUUCCCAGGGCCGAAUUUCAACCUCACUCACACCUGCCUGCUGCCAUUCCUGAGCAAGCUCUGCAUUGGUGAUGCCCCAAUCCCGCAGCUGAAUCAUUCUUGGGCGCCCUGAAGCCUUCUUCACAAGAACUGAACCUCUCUCCUUGAAGUUCUUGAUAAUCCAAUAAAUGGUUGAUUUAGGUGCAAUCUUACUAGCAGCAAUAUCCUUAUGCUGCCCUCAUGAAAGCGCGUCUUCGUAACACUAGACAGUUAGUUAACAUUAAAGAAAUUCAUCAGUGAUGACAAGGCCUCCAGGUGAAUUCAUGAGAAAUAAAGUUCCCCAUUUGUUCAUGAAUCAUCAGUCCUUGGGCUUUGCCGAUAACUCAACCGGGUAGCUACAAAGGCACGGUGCAUUAUUAUCUUGGAACAGGAACCAGCUUGUAAACAGCUGCUGCACUGACGGCACCAUACACUUUUGCAGUACUGUGAUGUACUUGGUCCCACUGACCAUUCCAUCAAUGAUGUGCAGACGUCCGACGCCACUGGCAGCUAUGCAGCCCCAAACCAUGACCUUCAAAGGAUGCUUCACAGUGAGGUUGAGGCACUCAGGCUUGAACUCCUCUCCAGGAAACCUCCUCACAUAGGUGUCUGCCUGGCUACCAAACAGGCAGAAAGUGCUUUCAUCACCGAAAAGCACCUUUUCCCACGUUUCAUAUGUCCAGCGUGACUUCUUCCAUGUCCAGUCAAUCCGGUUGCACCUUUGGACAUCAGUCAUCAGUGGCUUGUUGCGUGCCUUGCAACCCUGCAGACCAAACUGCGGGCACCGGCGACAAAACUGUUGAUGAGGUGACACUGACAUGACAGCUGUCUGACCACUCACACAGUGGCUGAGGUGAGGUCAACUUGCGAUUGCUCAAGGGAAUGCAUCAAAGUGCAUGAUCCUAGCAUGAUUUUGAUGCAUGUGGAUGACCAGACCGAGGCGUGUCUGCCACCAAACUCGCUUUUUUCUUUUGUACAACUGCUCUGUGACUGCAGCCGACUUUGUUAGUAAUGAGGCUGCCACACAUAAUAUCUGCUCUAUGUAAAUACACUCCCAUAGCCACUAGGUUAGCUCUCACCUUCUUUCACAAUUGUGUUGUGCAGUCUAACAAAUGGCCCUUGAGCCAUGAACAGUAGUGAAUGUAGUGAAUUGCUAUGUUCUUAAAUUACUUUUUGUAGUUUUGUGAACAACACCAUUUAUUAAACAAACGAAUCUGCAUUGGCAGAAUGAAGAAUUACAAAUGAAAAUAAACUAUUAUUUAAGAAA